GCUCAAGCUUGGUUCGUUAAAAUUUUUUCGAACUCGAGCCGAAUUCGAGCUUUACUCAUAUCGAACUCGAGCCGAGUAUUAAGAAGCUUAAGCUUGGCUCGUUUAGCAAACGAGCUUAGACGAGUCGAGUUUUUAUCGAGCUGAGUCGAGCUUUUAUCGAGCUGAGUCUCGAAUAGUUCACGAGUAAUUUAAUUUAUUUACAUGUAUAAUGAG
rnacentral:lncRNA from 1 species